CCCUUAGAUGUCCUGGGCCGCGCGCGCGUUACACUGAUGCAUUCAACGAGCUUAUAACCUUGGCCGAGAGGCCUGGGCAAUCUUGUUAACGUGCAUCGUGAUAGGGAUAGAUUAUUGAAAUUAUUAAUCUUGAACGAGGAAUUCCUAGUAAACGCAGAUCAUCAAUCUGCAUUGAUUACGUCCCUGCCCUUUGUACACACCGCCCGUCGCACCUACCGAUUGGAUGGUCCGGUGAAGCCUCGGGAUUGUGGUUCUUGCCGCUUUAUUGUGGCGUGACCGCGAGAACUUGUCUAAACCUUAUCAUCUAGAGGAAGGUGAAGUCGUAACA
rnacentral:rRNA from 1 species